AGCUAUGAUGAUCAUCGCUUCUUCUGACACCUCUUGUACGAGAAGUGUGCGCACUUCGUUGAGCAGAGUAUAGCAAACGUCUGAGCU